UACGUAUGGUGCAAGCGUUAUCCGGAUUUACUGGGUGUAAAGGGAGCGUAGGCGGCGCGUUAAGUCUGAUGUGAAAACCCGAGGCUCAACCACGGGAGUGCAUUGGAAACUGGCGUGCUGGAGUGCCGGAGAGGUAAGCGGAAUUCCUAGUGUAGCGGUGAAAUGCGUAGAUAUUAGGAGGAACACCAGUGGCGAAGGCGGUCUGCUGGACAGCAACUGACGCUGAGGCGCGAAAGCGUGGGGAGCAAACAGG
rnacentral:rRNA from 1 species